GUCUUAAAUUACAAAACAUUAUAGAAUUGAAUGACAGGUAUGAUUUAGGAUUUUAAAGUGACAACCCCCCCCCCCACCCCUUUCCUCAUGUUUUACAAACAAGGGUUGUGUUUUAUGUUACAUUUUACAAUAAGUCUAGAAGAUAUUAUUUUAAAACCAUUGCAUGGUGUUUCCUAUUUUGAGUGUAACACAACCAUACAAGUAAACAGCUAAGAGAGUUCCCUCUAAUGUGAAAUCUCUACCACAUUAGCUAAACAGAAUAGUGUACACAUUGGAUUACUACCUCUAUGCAAAACAUCUUCAGCAGCAACAAGUUGUCAGAACAGUUAGAAAGAUACAUGGUCUUAAUUAAGGUGGCAGAACCUUUGCAGAUAGUGAGAGGGAAGUAUUUCAAGUCAUGGAAGUAG